rnacentral:lncRNA from 1 species
UGGCGAUGGUGGACACGAACACCAGCAGCACGGCCAUGAGCGCCAGGAUCACGUUGAUGAACUUGCCCAGCAGCGCCCGCGCGUUGGCAUUCUCCACGCCCUCCAGCUGUACCACCUGCUGCUGUUGCUGCUGCAGCUCCAGCUUGGUGACCCGGGUCAGGCAGGACUCCACGGCCUCCUGGAUGUCCCGUGCCCUCUCAUAGGACUGGUAGGCCACCUUCUCCUCCAUGCUGGCCAGCUCCUGCUUCAGGUUCGUCAUCUCGUUCUGAUGAAGCUCAGUCAGGUCGUUGAGCUGCUCCUCCAGCCGCUCGUACCUGUAGCGCUCCUCCUGCAGGCACUGGGUCAUGUAGGUGUAGUCCCUCUGCAGCUGAGUCUUCAGGUCUUCCAUGGAGUCCUCCAGGUGAGACUGUCCCUCCUUGAUCUCCCGUAGCUCUUCCAGCAGAGCAUCCAGGUUUCCAGGAGCACCAUACAGUGCAUUGGACUUAGGGCUCCCCAGCGCCCCACCAGGCCCAGCCCCAGAGUUGCUGCCUGCCCCGGCUGAGCUGGCGCUGGCGCUGGAGCACUCAUCAUCGCUGCCAUACUUGGGGCUGGAGACGAGUGUGGCACUGCCGCUCAGUGCCCGGGCUGCCUCCUCAGGGGGCCCAUCUUCCAGGGGGUCCUUCAGGUGGGCGAUGUUGUCAGCACUGCCAAACUUGUUGCGGAUGAGGCUGGCAAACUCCCGGGGCUUGGACACCACGGCGGUGUGGGUGGCCUGUGAGAGGCCAGAGAGGCUGCCCUUGACGCCCUCCACCACGCCGCCCCCAAAGCCGCUGAUGCCUGCGCGCACGUUGGCGCCCACGUCCUUCAGCCCCUGCUGCAUGUCCCGCAGCACGUCCUUGGGCUGCCGCGAGGGCCCGUUCUGCUCAAUCUCCUUCAGGCGCCGGCGGUAGUGCUCCAGCUUCUUGUGCAGCUGGGCGAUGGUCUGGGCUGACUUCUGGUUCUUCUUCUCGAACACUUGCUUGAUGCGUGACACCUGCUGCUUGUCCGCGUUGUUGGCCAGUUUCAGAUACUCUGCCACAUUGUCGUCGCGAGCCUCCUGCUCAAUCUUGAUCUGCUCGGUGAUCUUCAGGAUCUUCUGGUGCAGGUGGUCAAUGGCGGCCUUGGUCCGCUGGGGGUCCGGUGCCCCAUCGGGCACGUCCAGGCUGAUGGGGCCGUCGGUGUCACCAUGGCCGGCGGGGAGGCUCAGGGCCACCAGGUCUCCCUUAUCGACAGCAGUCUCUUCCUCCUUGGACUUCAUCUUGACAGUG